CCCCUUUCCAGGCCUGGUUGCGGUUACCCAUUUGGACAUGUCAAACUAUAAAAUAGAAAGAAAACAUUGGAAACUAGAGUGAGUCAGGGUGUAGUGGGAACAGCCCACAAGGGGAGGGGGGGGAUAUGAAAAGGCACUUUUUGCGCUAAUGACCCAUAGGAUAGUCAUGUCCCAGCACUCGUAGACAGGAAGUCCCGUGGGGUGUAAGGGACUACAGUUGUUGGGUCCCAGUCAUGUGUUCCUCGACCUCUCGCUGAGCAGGCAGUUCUAAUGCUCUCAGCAGUGUUGGCGCCUCUUCCGCCGAAGCGAUGCGGUGACCAGGCCCAUUGUGGGUGACAAUGAGGUAGUCCAUUUGUAUGCGACUCCCGCGGUUAUCAGUUGGCUUGUGAUUGGAAGGAGCGUUUUACGCCAUUGCAGGGUGGACCUCGACAGGUCCUGGUAAAAGGUUAAGUCAGUACCCUCAAAUGAGUAAGGGGUCUAGUUUUGUUGAGCCGUGAAUAGAGCCCUUUUGUCUUCAGCGAGGGAGCAGCGUACUAUGAUGUUGCUUACUGCAUUUGUUGGAGCCCUGGGUGACUUCGGUAGGCGGAACAAGUCAUCAAAAGCAAGCUUUUUGGCAUGUCUGUAGUAGCAGCGAAGCCACCAAUCGCCUCAUGUAGUGUGGUAAUUCUUCCCUGGUAACGGAUUCGGGUACCCAUUAUUUUCUGAUUGUUACGUCAGGAGCGAUCCUCCAGCGUAGAAAGGUGCGUGUUGUGUUUUUUGGACACAAUGUAGAGAGUCCUUCACUUUGGACAUGUCUUGUCUCACGUCCAUGAUGUCCUCUUCUGUUGCUUUCACACUGUGUGUAACCACCUGUAGGUCUGCCUGGAUAGCUGCGAUGUCAGUGGCUAGCGUUUGUCAGAAGUCAUUGAGGAUGUCUUUAGUGGCCAGGGCUGAG